rnacentral:rRNA from 1 species
ACGGUAUUCCUAUUGAAGAAUGAGCCUGCGAGUAUAUGUAUGUCGCCUGCUUAAGGACCUACGGUCCGGAGGCGUAGCGAAAGCGAGUCUGAAAGGGCGCUCGUGGCAUGCACAUAACCCGAAACCGGGUGAGCUAUCCAUGGCCAGGAUGAAUCUUUCCGAAAGGAAAGAAGAGGUCCGAACUCACGUGCCGUGCAACACACGGAGAUGAGCUGUGGAUGGGAGAGAAAUUCUAAUCGAACUCGGUAAUAGCUGGUUCUCCUCGAAAUAGCUUUAGGGCUAGCCUUGUGUGAUCCCUCUGAUGGUAGAGCACUGGAUGAGACUUGGGUCCUUCGGGAUACCGGUUUCAAUCAAACUCCGAAUAUCAGAGACUAUAACACAGGAGUCAGACAGUGACGGCUAAGCGCCAUUGUCAAAAGGGGAACAGCCCAGAUCGCAAGCUAAGGUCCCUAAAUUCAUGUUAAGUGUAAAAGGUGGUAAAGAUUCUUAUACAACCAGGAGGUUUGCUUAGAAGCAGCCAUCCUUUAAAGAAAGCGUAACAGCUCACUGGUCAAGAGUCUUCGCGCCGAAAAUGUACCGGGGCUAAAACAUGAUACCGAAGCUGCGGAUUGUUGUUGGGAAUUAAUUAUCUAACGUUGAAUCAAAUAGUUUAAAGAAAACUUGCUUUGCAAGUUUUCUGAUAAAUGCUCUUAAGAAAAAACAUAAGAGACGUUGAACAAUGAGAUUGGAUAAUCAAUUCCCAACAACAGUGGUAGAGGAACGUUCCCAACGCACUGAAGCCGUAGGCGUGAGCCGCGGUGGAGUGUUGGGAAGCGAGAAUGCAGGCAUAAGUAGCAAAAACCAGGGUGAGAAUCCCUGGCGCCGAAAAUCCAAGGUUUCCUGGGCAACGAGAAUCGCCCCAGGGUUAGUCGAUCCUAAGGCCAGGCCGAAAGGCGUAACCGAUGGAAGAGCUGGUUAAUAUUCCAGCACUGUACUAAGUUUGGUAAUCAGUGCGCAUUUCAAAGUUUUAAGCGUGUUCUGAAUAUGCACGUAGCGCAAGCUAGAGAUGAAGCCUUCGGGUGGAGUCGAUUUAAGGUGGAGAAGUGCCUAGAAAAGCUGAUUAUCGUUAAGCUUAAUAUAUCCGUACCGGAAACCGACACAGGUGGAUAGGUCGAGUAGACUAAGGCGUACGAGAGAACCCUUGUUAAGGAACUCUGCAAUACAACGGCCGUAACUUCGGGAUAAGGCCUGCCCAAUUUAUUUGGGUUACAACAAAAGACGCACUGCGACUGUUUACCAAAAACACAGCUCCCUGCAAAAGCGCAAGCUGAAGUAUAGGGGGUGAUGCCUGGCCAGUGUCAGAACGUUAAGGGGAGAGGUGAAAGCUUUGAUCCGAAGCGCUGAUGAACGCCGGCGAUAACUAUAAUCGUCCUAAGGUAGCGAAAUUCCUUGUCGGGUAAGUUCCGACCUGCACGAAUGGCA